CUGCUCAGGACGAACGCUGGCGGCGUGCCUAAUACAUGCAAGUAGAACGCUGAAGAGAGGAGCUUGCUCUUCUUGGAUGAGUUGCGAACGGGUGAGUAACGCGUAGGUAACCUGCCUUGUAGCGGGGGAUAACUAUUGGAAACGAUAGCUAAUACCGCAUAACAAUGGAUGACACAUGUCAUUUAUUUGAAAGGGGCAAUUGUUCCACUACAAGAUGGACCUGCGUUGUAUUAGCUAGUAGGUGAGGUAAUGGCUCACCUAGGCGACGAUACAUAGCCGACCUGAGAGGGUGAUCGGCCACACUGGGACUGAGACACGGCCCAGACUCCUACGGGAGGCAGCAGUAGGGAAUCUUCGGCAAUGGGGGCAACCCUGACCGAGCAACGCCGCGUGAGUGAAGAAGGUUUUCGGAUCGUAAAGCUCUGUUGUAAGUCAAGAACGGGUGUGAGAGUGGAAAGUUCACACUGUGACGGUAGCUUACCAGAAAGGGACGGCUAACUACGUGCCAGCAGCCGCGGUAAUACGUAGGUCCCGAGCGUUGUCCGGAUUUAUUGGGCGUAAAGCGAGCGCAGGCGGUUUGAUAAGUCUGAAGUUAAAGGCUGUGGCUCAACCAUAGUUCGCUUUGGAAACUGUCAAACUUGAGUGCAGAAGGGGAGAGUGGAAUUCCAUGUGUAGCGGUGAAAUGCGUAGAUAUAUGGAGGAACACCGGUGGCGAAAGCGGCUCUCUGGUCUGUAACUGACGCUGAGGCUCGAAAGCGUGGGGAGCGAACAGGAUUAGAUACCCUGGUAGUCCACGCCGUAAACGAUGAGUGCUAGGUGUUGGAUCCUUUCCGGGAUUCAGUGCCGCAGCUAACGCAUUAAGCACUCCGCCUGGGGAGUACGACCGCAAGGUUGAAACUCAAAGGAAUUGACGGGGGCCCGCACAAGCGGUGGAGCAUGUGGUUUAAUUCGAAGCAACGCGAAGAACCUUACCAGGUCUUGACAUCCCGAUGCUAUUUCUAGAGAUAGAAAGUUACUUCGGUACAUCGGUGACAGGUGGUGCAUGGUUGUCGUCAGCUCGUGUCGUGAGAUGUUGGGUUAAGUCCCGCAACGAGCGCAACCCCUAUUGUUAGUUGCCAUCAUUCAGUUGGGCACUCUAGCGAGACUGCCGGUAAUAAACCGGAGGAAGGUGGGGAUGACGUCAAAUCAUCAUGCCCCUUAUGACCUGGGCUACACACGUGCUACAAUGGUUGGUACAACGAGUUGCGAGUCGGUGACGGCGAGCUAAUCUCUUAAAGCCAAUCUCAGUUCGGAUUGUAGGCUGCAACUCGCCUACAUGAAGUCGGAAUCGCUAGUAAUCGCGGAUCAGCACGCCGCGGUGAAUACGUUCCCGGGCCUUGUACACACCGCCCGUCACACCACGAGAGUUUGUAACACCCGAAGUCGGUGAGGUAACCUUUUGGAGCCAGCCGCCUAAGGUGGGACAGAUGAUUGGGGUGAAGUCG
rnacentral:rRNA from 1 species